UAGGGAAUCUUCGGCAAUGGACGAAAGUCUGACCGAGCAACGCCGCGUGAGUGAAGAAGGUUUUCGGAUCGUAAAACUCUGUUGUUAGAGAAGAACAAGGACGUUAGUAACUGAACGUCCCCUGACGGUAUCUAACCAGAAAGCCACGGCUAACUACGUGCCAGCAGCCGCGGUAAUACGUAGGUGGCAAGCGUUGUCCGGAUUUAUUGGGCGUAAAGCGAGCGCAGGCGGUUUCUUAAGUCUGAUGUGAAAGCCCCCGGCUCAACCGGGGAGGGUCAUUGGAACCUGGGAGACUUGUGUGCAGAAGAGGAGAGUGGAAUUCCAUGUGUAGCGGUGAAAUGCGUAGAUAUAUGGAGGCACACCAGUGGCGAAUGCGGCUCUCUGGUCUGUAACUGACGCUGAGGCUCGAAAGCGUGGGGAGCAAACAGG
rnacentral:rRNA from 1 species